rnacentral:rRNA from 1 species
AGCAGCCGCGGUAAUUCCAGCUCCAAUAGCGUAUAUUAAAGUUGUUGCAGUUAAAAAGCUCGUAGUUGAAUUUCGGAAUCAAUAUGUUGGUCGUGCCUUGGUACGUACUAAUUUAUUGGUUUCUUCCUUCUGACGAACCAUGAUGUCAUUAAUUUGGUGUCUUGGGGAAUCAGGACUGUUACUUUGAAAAAAUUAGAGUGUUUAAAGCAGGCUCACGCUUGAAUACAUUAGCAUGGAAUAAUGAAAUAGGACGUUUGAUUCUAUUUUGUUGGUUUCUAGGAUCGACGUAAUGAUUAAUAGGGAUAGUUGGGGGCAUUAGUAUUCAAUUGUCAGAGGUGAAAUUCUUGGAUUUAUUGAAGACUAACUACUGCGAAAGCAUUUGCCAAGGAUGUUUUCAUUAAUCAAGAACGAAAGUUAGGGGAUCGAAGACGAUCAGAUACCGUCGUAGUC